AAGCGUUGUCCCUGUUGGUCCACUUGUUCAAGGCAUUGUUGAUGAUGAAAAGGAGCACUCUGAGAUCAUACAAUGGCUUGAGAACAAGGGUGAGUACUCCACUUUGUUUGUUUCAUUUGGGAGUGAGUAUUUUAUGUCCAAGGAAGAGAUUGAAGAGAUAGCUCAUGGGUUAGCGUUUAGCAAGGUUAAUUUCAUAUGGGUUGUUAGGUUUCCUG
rnacentral:misc_RNA from 1 species